CACGUGCAAGUCGAGCGCGAAAAUUUCUUCGGGAAUGAGUAGAGCGGCGGACGGGUGAGUAACGCGUAGGAAUCUGCCCGGUAGUGGGGGACAACAGUCGGAAACGACUGCUAAUACCGCAUACGCCCGUAAGGGGGAAAGCGAGGGGAUCUUCGGACCUUGCGCUAUCGGAUGAGCCUGCGUCGGAUUAGCUUGUUGGUGGGGUAAUGGCCUACCAAGGCGACGAUCCGUAGCUGGUCUGAGAGGAUGAUCAGCCACACUGGGACUGAGACACCGGCCCAGACUCCUACGGGAGGCAGCAGGUGGGGAAUAUUGGACAAUGGGGAAACCCUGAUCCAGCCAUGCCGCGUGUGUGAAGAAGGCCUUCGGGUUGUAAAGCACUAUCAGUAGGGAGGAAAAGUUGAUGGCUAAUACCCAUCAGCCCUGACGUUACCUACAGAAGAAGCACCGGCAAACUCCGUG
rnacentral:rRNA from 1 species